rnacentral:rRNA from 1 species
AACGAACGCUGGCGGCAUGCCUAACACAUGCAAGUCGAACGAGACCUUCGGGUUUGGUGGCGCACGGGUGCGUAACGCGUGGGAAACUGCCUUUAGGUUUGGCUUAACUCCCCGAAAGGGGUGCUAAUACCGGCUAAUGUCCUCGGACCAAAGAUUUAUCGACGUUGGAUGGGCCGUAGUGGACUUACCUUGUUGGUAGGGUAAAUGCCUACCAAAGCGACGAUCGAUAGAUGGUCUGUGAGGAUGAUCCGCCACACUGGUACUGGGACACGGCCCAGACUCCUGGGGGAGGGAGCAGAGGGGAAUAUUGGACAGGGGGCGAUAGCCUGAUCCUGCAAUGCCGGUUGAGUGAUGAAGGCCUUGGGGAUGUAAAGUUCUUUUACCCGGGAUGAUAAUGACGGUACCGGGAGAAUAAGCACCGGCUAACUCCGUG